rnacentral:rRNA from 1 species
AAAGAGUACGUAGGCGGUUAUUCAAGUCAGAGGUGAAAGCCCGGGGCUCAACCCCGGAACUGCCUUUGAAACUAGAUAACUAGAGUCUUGGAGAGGUUAGUGGAAUUCCGAGUGUAGAGGUGAAAUUCGUAGAUAUUCGGAAGAACACCAGUGGCGAAGGCGACUAACUGGACAAGUACUGACGCUGAGGUACGAAAGCGUGGGGAGCAAACAGGAUUAGAUACCCCAGU